CCUACGGGAGGCAGCAGUGAGGAAUAUUGGUCAAUGGACGAGAGUCUGAACCAGCCAAGUAGCGUGAAGGAUGACGGCCCUAUGGGUUGUAAACUUCUUUUAUAUGGGAAUAAAAUGUUCCACGUGUGGGAUUUUGUAUGUACCAUUUGAAUAAGGAUCGGCUAACUCCGUGCCAGCAGCCGCGGUAAUACGGAGGAUCCGAGCGUUAUACGGAUUUAUUGGGAUUAAAGGGAGCGUAGGUGGAUUGUUAAGUCAGUUGUGAAAGUUUUAGGCUCAACCGUAAAAUUGCAGUUGAAACUGGCAGUCUUGAGUACAGUAGAGGUGGGCGGAAUUCGUGGUGUAGCGGUGAAAUGCUUAGAUAUCACGAAGAACUCCGAUUGCGAAGGCAGUUCACUGGACUGCAACUGACACUGAGGCUCGAAAGUGUGGGUAUCAAACAGGAUUAGAUACCCGGGUAGUC
rnacentral:rRNA from 1 species